UGCAAUGAUGUUGUAAUUUGCGUCUUACUCUGUUCUUGGCAACAGCUUACUGCUCUCAGCAAGCUGGUACAGAAGGUUGACGAAUAUUUAAAAAAAUUGAACU
rfam:Fukomys damarensis contig88440, whole genome shotgun sequence.